rfam:Gossypium hirsutum cultivar TM-1 unplaced genomic scaffold scaffold2800.1, whole genome shotgun sequence
AGUUAAAAUGUUCAUCAAUUCUUACUGUUAAAAAUUAGUGUGAUUAACAGAAUAACUAGAUAGUAACAUGUAGUAUACCAUGUUUAUUUUAUUCUGACAUGCAGAGACUAAUUUUUAACCGUAGAAAUAGAUAAAUUUUUAACA